rnacentral:ncRNA from 1 species
ACACUGGUCAGAUGUUGUGAAAUGAUGUAGGAGGUGUAGCAUAGGUUCAGUGAUCUGGAAAUACCACUAUUGAUUGUCAUUUUACUUAUUCCGUGAGACUGAAGCUUGCAUCAUAUGAGUUGUUGAUUUGACAUUGCUUCUUUUGGCAGCUCAUCUGUGCGGAGGACAUAGUCAGGUGGGGAGU